rnacentral:tRNA from 1 species
GGAGUUGUAGCUCAGUAGUAGAGCACUUACCUCACAAGUGUGAGGCACUGGGUUUGAUGCUAGCAACUCAU